rnacentral:rRNA from 1 species
CCAGACUCCUACGGGAGGCAGCAGUGAGGAAUAUUGGUCAAUGGCCGAGAGGCUGAACCAGCCAAGUCGCGUGAGGGAAGACGGCCCUACGGGUUGUAAACCUCUUUUGUCGGGGAGCAAAGCGAACCACGUGUGGUUCAUUGAGAGUACCCGAAGAAAAAGCAUCGGCUAACUCCGUGCCAGCAGCCGCAGUAAUACGGAGGAUGCGAGCGUUAUCCGGAUUUAUUGGGUUUAAAGGGUGCGUAGGCGGAAUAUCAAGUCAGCGGUAAAAUCGAGGGGCUCAACCCCUUUAAGCCGUUGAAACUGGUGAUCUUGAGUGGGCGAGAAGUAUGCGGAAUGCGUGGUGUAGCGGUGAAAUGCUUAGAUAUUGCGCAGAACUCCGAUUGCGAAGGCAGCAUACCGGCGGCGAUCUGACGCUGAGGCACGAAAGCGUGGGUAUCGAACAGGAUUAGAUACCCGGGUA